rnacentral:lncRNA from 1 species
AUGAGCAGUGUGAGCCCCCAGAAGGUAACACAAGAGCUUGUGCUACUUGACAGAAAGAGGCAAACCUCUGCAAUAAGCAACUCAGGAGACCUAAAAGAAGAGGACACCUCAUCAGGGAUCAUCACCUCCACCAGAUGGGCCAUUAAGAGAGAGACACAUGCACGUCCUUGCACAAGAAAAGAGAUUCUUCACCUUCUGCCAUCGUAUUGUCACAGCAGCUCAUGUUUAUUGUGAAUGACAUCUUCAGCUACAACUCAGCAUGAGCUCCAGCAUGCUGGAGCUGAACAUCCUACCAGGAAAAAUCAGCAGUGACAUUAAAAUUGUUUCAUGAAUAAUGAAAAAAUAAAUAUCACAUUAACUGCA